UGUUUUUGCCCUGUCUGUUGGUUUGUCUGUUGGUUGGUUUGCGCCAACUUUAACAUUUUGCAAUAACUUUUGCUAUAUUGAAUAUAGCAACUUGAUAUUUGGCAUGCAUGUGUAUCUCAUGGAGCUGCACAUUUUGAGUGGUGAAAGGUCAAGGUCAUCCUUCAAGGUCAGAGGUCAAAUAUAUGUGGCCCGAAUCGCUUAUUUUAUGAAUACUUUUGCAAUCUUGAAGAUAGCAACUUGAUAUUGGGCAUGCAUGUGUAUCUCAUGGAGCUGCACAUUUUGAGUGAUGAAAGGUCAUGGUCAAGGUCAUCCUUCAAGGUCA